CAGGGAGGGAGGCGGGCUAAAAGGUUGUCUAUCAAAUCACUCUGCAGCAACUGGGUAGGUAUACAACCAAUCAGUGCAACGAAUAGGCUCCUAGAGCGCCGGAAAUCAGAGGAUGCGGUAGUUCGGUGAAGCCUUAUUUAUACAGUCAAUGGGUGAAGCUCAAGUAUAUUACAGACAUGUUAACAGAAAGAUUAUUCAGAGUCGGUGCUAAUGGAGCUCAACGACUGUUCUCGUUUUUGUUGUCGACCCUGGCAGAGAAUUAAAUUCGUUGCCGUGGGUUGUCUAGCGCGGCUAGGCUAUUUUUUGGUUGCUCCUUAUUCCAAAUAACUAGAAGAAAUCUAAAAGUGCAAGCCCAACCAAAGCUCAGGUCUCAACACUGUACGACUACGCUGUACUGCACAACCGCAAGUUGUGAUAUAUAUAAUUCAGCAAUGCAUGUAAGAACCAAGAAACUACUGUUUAAACUGCUUACUUCAGUCAUUGCAUGUCUUCUAACAUAUAAAAACAUCACAUGGGCAUGUAAACAAAACCAAAGCAGACGUCUUUAAGGCUGCUGGGUAUGAUUUCACAUUUUAAUUACUUAGAAUUCACUUCAAAACAUUACUGAGGAAUAUAUUUGCUGUUGCUAUUUGCAUUGUCCCACUUUGAAAUUGGACUCAUUAAGUCAGAUCUCUCUUCUUUAUGUUCUCAUUAGCAUAAUAUGCCGUGCUGAAAACUUUAAGUGAACCCACGGAACCCCUACACAGCAGCUCUGCAUUACUUUGUGUCUCAAAAAAAAGCGUUUUAUCAGAUAGGAGCGGGGCCUAUUGAUUUUUUUAAACUGGCAGCAGAGCAUCUGGGUAGCAGCAGGCUAAUGGAGCUGCUCAGUCCACUGUGGAAGAUUGGCCAGAACCCCAGAACGACCUCCAAAUUGUGUGCCGACCUUGUGGAUGCAGCCUCGGAGCUCGUCUCAUCACGCUUAAGUUGAUAGAUGGUGCAGCUAGAGGCGCCUGACGACAGCAGAACCUCACCACACACAUCCUCGGGAUUUUUAACCCCCCCCCCCCAUUUGCUCUCACAAGGAUACCUCCCAGAUUUAACCGCCAUCACUCAUGACUGCUUUAAAGAACUUUGAUUUGUGACAGUCAGGUGGCACAAACAGAAAGCUUUUCAUUCCGUCAUGUGAGGGCUCAUAAAUCCGACAGAUUGACGGUUGACGUUUUGCAUCCAUACGUUGAAGAUGAAGAUGUAUGCUGACAGAUUGGUUCUAGCCAAUUAAGACUAUAAUUAGCUUAAUGAAUUACCUCAUUAGUGCAUCUAUAUCAUGAUUAUUAUGAUAUAUAUAUAAAGCUGUUUACGUGAGGCAAUAAAACCUAAGGGCAACCACAGAAUUUAGAUGCUAUUCAAACAGUGCUGCACGUUUCUUUAUUCAUGCUAAUGUGUGCUCAUAAUGGGAGCAUUAUGUUAAGGAAUAGGGUUAUUCAGUUGUUUUCAUGUUUAAGUAAAUGAGCAACUAGGAAACAAAAAGACUCCAGAAGGAAAUAAACAGUUCUAAUGAGGAUUGUGUCAGUUGAGGGGUUUACUAUACUUCUUCAUAAACACUGAGAAAAAUCAACGGGUUAAAAGAGGCUUUAAACAGCUUUGGCAUUAAUUGGUUGUCUCACUGAGCUUACAGACAAGCUAUUAAAUGAAUGUUAGUGUGAGAAAUAUCACAUUGUACACACAUGAAUGCAAUUUGCGCCAAACUAUCGUAAUUCCUAUGAGCAGACAUUUAACUGAUGUACAUUUCCCUGAAUAUCUACAUGAUGUUAAAGUAGUCCAGGCGAGCUUUUCUCACCGGGUCAUCAAAUAGGUAUGGAGUCACAGGAGUGCCACAUCAAAAUAUAAAUAAAUAAAUGUGGAAAUAUAAAGAGAAAUAAAUUCAUUAAUUAAUGUGGAAAUAUAAAGAUAAAUAAAUAAAUAAAUGUGGAAAUAUAAAGAGAAAUAAAUUCAUUAAUGUGAAAAUAUAAAGAGAAAUAAAUUAAUUAAUGUGGAAAUAUAAAGAGACAUAAAUAAAUAAAUGUGAAAAUAUAAAGAGAAAUAAAUAAAUAAAUGUGGAAAUAUAAAGAGAAAUAAAUAAAUGUGGAAAUAUAGAGAUAAAUAAAUAAAUGUGGAAAUAUAAAGAGACAGAAAUAAGUAAAUAUAAAGAGAAAUAAAUUAAUGUGGAAAUAUAAAGAUAAAUAAAUGUGGAAAUAUAAAGAGACAAAUAAAUAAAAGGAAAAAGCAGAAAAGGUAAAAGCAAAGACAAAAUUUUCCUAUUUAUUUAUUUAUUUCUCUUUAUAUUUCCACAUUUAUUUAUUUAUUUAUUUAUUUAUAUUUUGAUGUGGCACUCCUGUGACUCCAUAAAUACAUGACUGCAAAAUAGAAAUAAUAAUAAUAUACCAAUUUAAGUUUUGAUUUGAUGGUUUGGGUUGACAUGAUAAUGCUGACGAUAAUGCUGUGAUUUAAACUCAAAGUAAUUGAGCUAAAGCUAAGUUCAAGUCGAGGUAACUUCAUGAAAUACGGUGAAGAACGGAAUUUUUCAAGAUUUCCGUCACUGUCCAUUUCUCAUCAGCCUCCUCUUGCAUCGUUCUUAUCUCCUCAUCGUCUCCCAGACUCAGUUUCUCAGGUGCUGCCUUUAAAAGUCUUUAAACCUGCAGAUUUAACUGAAAGCUUUUCUCUUUCCGUCUGUUUCUUAAGGAGGGCUGGAAGUCUGUGCAGGUCUCCAAGCGCUCCUCCAUCCGUCUGUGGUUGUGGUUAAUGUAUUUAUUUAUUGAUGUUUUUGUUUCAGUAGAGUCAAAAUGUUAUCUCGAAAUUUGUAAAACUGUGAAGCGUUUAGCUGAAUAAAGUUUUCUGUGAAAUGCUUUAA